GAUGAACGCUGGCGGCGUGCCUAAUACAUGCAAGUAGAACGCUGAAGGAGGAGCUUGCUCUUCUGGAUGAGUUGCGAACGGGUGAGUAACGCGUAGGUAACCUGCCUGGUAGCGGGGGAUAACUAUUGGAAACGAUAGCUAAUACCGCAUGACAACAGUUAUUGCAUGAUAACUGUUUAAAAGGGGCAACUGCUCCACUACCAGAUGGACCUGCGUUGUAUUAGCUAGUUGGUGAGGUAACGGCUCACCAAGGCGACGAUACAUAGCCGACCUGAGAGGGUGAUCGGCCACACUGGGACUGAGACACGGCCCAGACUCCUACGGGAGGCAGCAGUAGGGAAUCUUCGGUAAUGGACGGAAGUCUGACCGAGCAACGCCGCGUGAGUGAAGAAGGUUUUCGGAUCGUAAAGCACUGUUGUAAGAGAAGAACGAGUGUGAGGGUGGAAAGUUCACACUGUGACUGUAUCUUACCAGAAAGGGACGGCUAACUACGUG
rnacentral:rRNA from 1 species